ACGGACACAUCACGUUGAAACACCAGCUCUCGUACGACCAUCGAAGUUAAGCAGCGUCGAGCCGUGUUAGUACUUAAAUGGGUGACCGCUUGGGAAUACCAGGUGCUGUAAG